GCAGGCGUAGUUCAGUUGGUUAGAGUGUUAGGUUGUGGUUCUAAAAGUCGGGAGUUCAAACCUCCUCGCCUGCC
rnacentral:tRNA from 1 species